CUGCCUCUAGGCCUAACCUUAUAAAAUCACUGGCACUCUGACUGACACUAGUGACGUAAAUUCAUAUUUUGAAAUAAGUUGGUAAUUAAAUAAGGAAAUGGAACCCAUGUAGUGAGGAAGUGAGAAUCCAUGUCAGUGCCCAGAAGUUCUGCAAUUUUUAUUGAGGUGAACUUUAAAAGUCCCAAACGUCUUCCCAGGACCUCCUACUUGCUCAUACUGUAGGACUGUGGAUUACAGCUGUGAGUAAUUCUGGCUGUAACCAUACUUAAGGAGUAAUAUUUAUCAUACAGACAUAUAAGCCUUUGCCUCAAACUAAUGUGUGAAGGUGUCUUUUACUAUGAAAAUAUCCAGGCUCCUCCAGAUAUUUCUGAAGGACAUGUAUCUGUUCCUCCGAGCUAGCUCUGGGCAUUCAACACAUCUCCAUGAGGGGGCAAAGAAGUGAUGCCAAAGCGGCAGUCCCUUUUCUGAAUUCUUGAUUUGCCUUCCCCGACAGCGCUGCUUGGAGAGGAACAGAGAUUAGAGAGAUGGCUGGCUCCUGGGAAUGUGACAAGUGACAGCUUCCAUCAGCAUUUAUCUCUACUUUGCAAAAAUAAGGGAAGUCUGGAAACAGACCCCUGUGGAACCUGCUGGCAGUCAACAGGCCAUCCUGAGCCGGGCCUUCAAAUCCAGAAAUACAUGCAUAUUAUCUGUCAUAACCAGAUAAAGAGGCUGCCAACCUUGAAAGUGACUCGAAUUUGACCUUCCUUCACCGAAACAAGGCUAAUUGUUUAAUGACCAAAAGAUUUAUAUGCAUUGUCUUUAAUCAUUACAUUGAACUCUCAGAUGAAUAUUACUACCAUGUUUAAUGGCUGAAAAAAAACACCAAAGCUGAGAAAGAGUUGGUCAUCUCACACAAGAGCCCACAGCAGGUAAACGGGAGGCCAGGAUCCCAACUUGCCUGCCUGGCUCCAAAACUCAGGCUCUGGCUACCGUGCAAAUGGACCUCUUGCUCUCUGAAGAAGGCUGGGUAAAGUAAGCCUGCUCUCUGCAAGACUGGGCUGUAUUUGUGAAACUGUCUUUCUAGUUAACCUCUGUCCUGAAAUGUUUCUCAGAAAGGAACACCCCAUCAGAGAUUCUUAAGGGUAUGACUGGCUUGCUUCUUCCUGUCAUUUUUCUAAAAUCCAAAGCCAGGAAUAGUAUACAUAUUUGUUUCAAUGCAUCCAUUUCUUCUGUGGUCUUAACUUUCAUUUCACCUCAGGAGAGUCUCCCAAGCAAGCUUUGUGAAACUUCAAGCAAUACUCCCUUUUGCUAAUAAUUCUUAAGAAGCAUCUGGCUCUAAAGGCGGUGGAGCCUUCGAUAGGUGAUUAGAUCAUCAAGGUGAAGCCCUCAUGAGUGGGAUUACUGCCUUGCAAAAAGGACCUGAGAGAGAUCUCUCACCCCUUCUGCCAUGUGAGGACACAGCAAGAAGAUGGCUGUCUAUGAACCAAAAGGACAGAAGAAACCAGGAUAACAGAAGCAACUCAGAAAAAAGAAAGCACUACAAUACAGAAAAAGAGAGAAGAAAAGGAAAUAGAAGCACCAGGCAACAUCACCCCUUUGCAAUUUCACUAUUACUAUGGACAGCAUUGGACUUUUGAAAACAAUAUCCUACCUGAGCCACAUCUUCAGAAUGAAAAGGUCAAAAUAGUUUACAGGUUUAUUAUUGUUGCCUUGGGCCAAAAAUCAAGGAUUAAAUACAGACUCAUUAAUAUUUGUGUAGUGGGAUAAUAUUUGAAAUAUUAACCUAGAAUUUUCCCCCUUAUUCCCUCCUCUACCCCAUCCUUCCUACCGCCACCUAGUACUCUUAGCCCCUUCCUGGGCCCCUGUAGCUAGGACCUUCCUUAUUUAUUGUCUCAGCCAAGAGCCUAGGAAGCCUGCUAAGUCCUUCAGAUUUGCCCACUCAGGCUUGUGCGAGAGAGAGCGAUGGCUUCACAAUGUCUCUUCUUGCCCAGAGGGCCUGAGACAGCUUCAUGGAGUUUUCCGUAUGCCACUGUGGUACCCCAGCUGAACGACAGUCAACACGCUACUGAAAGAGGGCUAGCAGGCCUGAAGACACGAGGUUGGGACCAGAAAGACACAACAGUGACCCACUGAUCACUCAUCAAAGAUCAGGCAGGAAUGCUGACAAUCUUGAUAGGUGUCAGGAUGGAUAAAUGAUGACAACGUAAAAGAGAUGCUCCCAACUCUCACCUCCAGUCUGACUCCUUGGCACAGGUGAGAGGACGAACAGAUGAUUGGAUGGAUCAACAGACAGAAAUUGUUGAAUGAGCCAAAAGGCACCUUUUCCUGAGCUACCUCUGUCAAGCAUCAUUUUUCCUUAUUUGUAUAAUGUUUAUUUUUGCAAUGAAUUACUGCCUUUACUACAGUAAACAUACCAUGGAAUCUCCUUUGUACCAUAUCCUUUUCUGAAUUUGGAAUGUUGAAUUCCUGCAUCUAUAUUUAUGGUCUUUACAUUUCCUAUUUUCACUUAAAUAUAUAAAAGCUCGUUGGUAAAAA